CCUAUACUGCAGUCGAGCGGACAGAUGGGAAGCUUGCUCCCUGAUGUUAGCGGCGGACGGGUGAGUAACACGUGGGUAACCUGCCUGUAAGAACUGGGAUAACUCCGGGAAACCGGGGCUAAUACCGGAUGCUUGUUUGAACCGCAUGGUUCAAACAUAAAAGGUGGCUUCGGCUACCACUUACAGAUGGACCCGCGGCGCAUUAGCUAGUUGGUGAGGUAAUGGCUCACCAAGGCGACGAUGCGUAGCCGACCUGAGAGGGUGAUCGGCCACACUGGGACUGAGACACGGCCCAGACUCCUACGGGAGGCAGCAGUAGGGAAUCUUCCGCAAUGGACGAAAGUCUGACGGAGCAACGCCGCGUGAGUGAUGAAGGUUUUCGGAUCGUAAAGCUCUGUUGUUAGGGAAGAACAAGUACCGUUCGAAUAGGGCGGUACCUUGACGGUACCUAACCAGAAAGCCACGGCUAACUACGUGCCAGCAGCCGCGGUAAUACGUAGGUGGCAAGCGUUGUCCGGAAUUAUUGGGCGUAAAGGGCUCGCAGGCGGUUUCUUAAGUCUGAUGUGAAAGCCCCCGGCUCAACCGGGGAGGGUCAUUGGAAACUGGGGAACUUGAGUGCAGAAGAGGAGAGUGGAAUUCCACGUGUAGCGGUGAAAUGCGUAGAGAUGUGGAGGAACACCAGUGGCGAAGGCGACUCUCUGGUCUGUAACUGACGCUGAGGAGCGAAAGCGUGGGGAGCGAACAGGAUUAGAUACCCUGGUAGUCCACGCCGUAAACGAUGAGUGCUAAGUGUUAGGGGGUUUCCGCCCCUUAGUGCUGCAGCUAACGCAUUAAGCACUCCGCCUGGGGAGUACGGUCGCAAGACUGAAACUCAAAGGAAUUGACGGGGGCCCGCACAAGCGGUGGAGCAUGUGGUUUAAUUCGAAGCAACGCGAAGAACCUUACCAGGUCUUGACAUCCUCUGACAAUCCUAGAGAUAGGACGUCCCCUUCGGGGGCAGAGUGACAGGUGGUGCAUGGUUGUCGUCACCUCCUGUCCUGAGAUGUUGGGUUAAAUCCCGCAACAAACGCAACCCUUGAUCUUAUUUGCCACCAUUCAGUUGGGCACUCUAAGGGGACUGCCGGGGACAACCCCAGGAAAGAGGGGAUGAAGUCAAAUAAUCAUGCCCCUUUAUAACUGGGGUUACAACCCGGUUUAAAUGGAAAGAAACAAAGGGGGCGGAAACCCCCAGGGUAAGCCAUUCACCAAAUCUGUUCCCUUUCGGAUCCAACUUGCCAAUCCACUGCUGGAAAUGGAAUCCUAUAAAUCCGGAACCAAUGCCCCCGGGAAACAUUCCCGGCCUUGUAACCCCCCCUCCCACC
rnacentral:rRNA from 1 species